GAACGCACAUUGCGCUCUCUGGUAUUCCGGAGAGCAUGCUUGUUUGAGUAUCAGUAAACACCUCAAUUUCAAGAUUUUCUAUUUUGAAAUUGGACUUGAGCAUAUCCCAACGUGUAUUUAAUUACAUGGAGGGUUGCUUCAAAUGCAGGUGCAGCCGAUCAUUCUUCUGGGCUAAAAGCAUUAUCUAGUUAGUCCCGUAAAACGGAUUAUUCAUUUUAUUGCUGCAGCUUACCUUUAUAAAAGGAAGACAUGGUCAUUGUGCUGACUGAUGCAGGAUUUCUCAGAGGGUCUGCAAAGACUUUUUGAAAACUCGAUCUCAAAUCAAGUAAGACUACCCGCUGAACUUAAG
rnacentral:misc_RNA from 1 species